GGAGAGGUGUCCGAGCGGUUUAAGGUGCAGAACUCGAAAUUCUGUGGACAGCAAUGUUCCGUGGGUUCGAAUCCCAUCCUCUCCG
rnacentral:tRNA from 13 species